UCGGGAAUUUUGGGCAAUGGGCGAAAGCCUGACCCAGCAACGCCGCGUGAGGGAUGAAGUAUUUCGGUAUGUAAACCUCGAAAGAAUGGGAAGAAUAAAUGACGGUACCAUUUAUAAGCUCCGGCUAACUACGUGCCAGCAGCCGCGGUAAUACGUAGGGAGCAAGCGUUGUUCGGAUUUACUGGGCGUAAAGGGCGCGUAGGCGGCGCGGUAAGUCACUUGUGAAAUCUCUGAGCUUAACUCAGAACGGCCAAGUGAUACUGCUGUGCUAGAGUGCGGAAGAGGCAACCGGAAUUCUUGGUGUAGCGGUCAAAUGCGUAGAUAUCAAGAGGAACACCUGAGGCGAAGGCGGGUUGCUGGGCCGACACUGACGCUGAUGCGCGAAAGCCAGGGGAGCAAAC
rnacentral:rRNA from 1 species